rnacentral:rRNA from 1 species
GACAUUUUCUAUCUAUGUGUCUUGACCAAAUCACGUGCCAGCAGUCGCGGUAAUACGUGGAAGACUAGUGUUAUUCAUCUUUAAUUGGUUUAAAGGGUACCUAGACGGUCUAUUAAGCCCCUAAAGGGUACUUACAGACUAGAGUUUGAUGAGAGGGGGGAAGUACGAGAGAGUGUAGAGAUGAAAUUCUGUCAUACCUUACUUGGAACAGGCAACGGCGAAAGCAACUCCUUAUGUAAAAACUGACGUUGAAGGACGAAGGCUUGGGACACCAACAGGAUUAGAUACCCCAGCAGUCCUUGCAGACAAUGAUGAAUGUCAUAGAUUGGAAUUAAAUAUCUUUUUUUUUAANAUAUCUUUUUGUCUAUAAAUGAAAGUGUAAGCAUUCCACCUCAAGAGUAAUGUGGCAACGCANAAACUGAAAUCAUUAGACCGUUUCUGAAACCAGUAGUGAAGUAUGUUGUUUAAUUUGGUGACCCGCAAAACACCUUACCACAAUUUGAAUAUUUUUAUGUUUAUAUAAAUACAAGCGUUGCACGGCUGUCUUCAGUUAAUGUCGUGAGAUUUUGGUUAGUUCCAUAAAAUUAACGUAAACCCUUACUUUAUUUUUAUAAUAGAGUAGUUCACCGCUAUAUUGGAUACGAUAAAAGGGAUUAAGACAAGUCAAUAUGGCCUUAAUAUUGUGGGCUA